ACCACAAUGACCUUCACCCCAUAGUGUCUAGUAUAGAGCUAUGUUACAUUGAAUGGCAAAAGUGACUUUGUAGAGGUGUCAUUUAUCCGGAUGCUGCAUGAUUAAGACCACCAUACUCUUACCAAGCAUACAGGUGUUAAUGUCUAUUUUAAAGAGGAGAGAACUCAAGAAGUUCUGUAGAAACUGCUUUCUUCAUCACAUCUCAAAGGAUUUGCUGAGGAUUUCAGAGCUGCCACGAGUUGAGAGAAGACUUCGGACAUUUCACUUAAUGCUGAAAAUUCACUCUACUGCCACUACUCAGGACUUCUGAUGGGCAUGAAAAUCCAAGCCUGCUUUAUGAUAUUAACCUCUGAAUUUCAUACACCGCUUAAAACUUUAGAAUGUCCAGAAAAUAGAUGACUUGCCCAAGAUACUAUAACUAGUGAAUUACUGAAGUUAGACUUAAACCAAACUGUUUUAUGAGUGAAUAGACAACCUACAGAAUGGGAGAAAAUACUUGCAAGCUAUGCAUCCAACAAAGGACUAAUAUCGAGAAUUUACAAGGAACUCAAACAAAACUCAACAAGAGUAAAACAACCCCAAUAAAAAGGAAAGUGAACACAUUUGGAAAUAUUGGAUCAGCAUUGCAGCUAUACCCUUUAGACAGGAAACACACUUUCCAGUUCUCCUUGACAGAGAGGCUGAAGCUGCUUAUGUGUCCGGAAUUGGUGGGUUCUUGGUCUCACUGACUUCAAGAAUGAAGCCACGGACCCUUGCGGGACUGGGAUGUGGACAUCUUGCCGGUGAGAAGGAGGAUUAUUCUGUCUACCACAACAUUUAUAGAGGACUUGAUAUCUAGUAAGAAUUCAAAAAUAUUAUGAACAUAUUGAUGUCAGAAGAGCUUAGAAGUGAAUUUGGCUCUUUGUAACUGUGAACUGUGGGCUCUUAAUAGUUUGAGAUAAUCAAUCAUUUGAUUUCUCUUUUUGAAAUCCCUGUAAGAUAGGAGUAUGUAUGGAUACCUUAGAAAAUCAAGAGGAUAUUCUGACAUAGUAUAUUUAAAAUAGUUGUAAUUCAUUUAUACAUUUACUUGAAUCAUAUUGUGUACAUUAGCAACAGCAAACAUGUUGGUGGGUAAUGACUAGGGGCAGACAGGGUGGCUUUAAAUAGCAAACUAUGGCACAUGAAUUAAUUUAUUGCCAAAAAGCACUACGUGUAUACAUACAUACACACAUUUGUGUAUGUAUACGCACUGUGAUAAGUAAUGGCACAAAUUACAGCAAUAAUUGGUAGCUGAGAGCUAUGUAACAGAUGUCAAGAUUAAAGGGGACUAAAUACAUUGGGGAUUCCCUGUUUAACCAAUGGGUUUAAUUAAAAGGUUUGUUGACUUUUUAACUUUGUCAGCUAUUUCUUGCUCAGUAAUUAAACAGAAUCUAGCUAAUUCCUUUGAGGGUGUUUUUCAAAGCCUAAUAAAAACAUGUAUCAUUUGUAAUCAACUUUUAAUGUUAGUAUUAAUAUAAGUGUAAGGAACAUGGCUGUGCUUUGGUCAAGGAAUAGGCUGAGGCAGACAUCUGGGCCAGAGUGACUCAGCAAGUUUGGAAAGCAGGUGCACAAUUCCAUGUAUAAUGUAAACACAGCCAUGUAGCCAUGGCAUGAGAAGACUCGUCAUUUGGCUCUACGCCAAUAUUGUCUGUAAAAGGUAUAAUUUGCCCUGCUGACAUUGUACAGGCACGCUUAUGCCCAGAGAAAGAGAGAGUCAGAGUUGUCCGUCUGUGCAGAAGACAGGGAGCCAGGACACAGCUCAGCUCACUCGGUCCCAACGAGAGAAAGAGUUAAGCUGCUGACCCUGAAGGCAAGGGAGAGCCUGCCAGGCAGCUGUGUGUGGGAGCUGCCAGACUAAGCAGCUGAGACAAGGUGGACAGUGUGAGAGAACUAGUGUGAGUGAGAUGCUGAUGGGAGAGCUGCUGAAUAAAACUACAUUUCACCUG